rnacentral:rRNA from 1 species
UACGUAGGGUGCGAGCGUUAAUCGGAAUUACUGGGCGUAAAGCGUGCGCAGGCGGUUUUGUAAGCCAGAUGUGAAAUCCCCGGGCUCAACCUGGGAAUGGCAUUUGGGACUGCAAGGCUGGAGUGCGGCAGAGGAGACUGGAAUUCCUGGUGUAGCAGUGAAAUGCGUAGAUAUCAGGAGGAAUACCGAUGGCGAAGGCAGGUCUCUGGGCUGACACUGACGCUCAUGCACGAAAGCGUGGGGGAGCAA